AGAGAUUAAACUGAAGAGUUUGAUCCUGGCUCAGAUUGAACGCUGGCGGCAUGCCUUACACAUGCAAGUCGAACGGCAGCGCGGGGCAACCUGGCGGCGAGUG
rnacentral:rRNA from 2 species